GACGAACGCUGGCGGCGUGCCUAAUACAUGCAAGUCGAACGCAGUGGGGACGGGUGAGUAACACGUGGGUAACCUCCCCUCAGAGGGGAUAACACUUGGAAACAGGUGCUAAACCGAUACUGAUGGAUGGACCCGCGGUGGAUUAGCUAGUUGGUGAGGUAACGGCUGACCAAGGCCACGAUGCAUAGCCGGCCUGAGAGGGUGAUCGGCCACACUGGGACUGAGACACGGCCCAGACUCCUACGGGAGGCAGCAGUAGGGAAUCUUGGGCAAUGGGCGAAAGCCUGACGGAGCCACGCCGCGUGUGUGAAGAAGGUCUUCGGAUCGUAAAGCUCUUUUGGUGGGGAAGCGGUAUCUAACCAGGAAGCCCCGGCUAACUCCGUGCCAGCAGCCGCGGUAAUUC
rnacentral:rRNA from 1 species